rnacentral:rRNA from 1 species
CCUACGGGUGGCAGCAGUCGAGAAUCAUUCACAAUGGGGGAAACCCUGAUGGUGCGACGCCGCGUGGGGGAAUGAAGGUCUUCGGAUUGUAAACCCCUGUCAUGUGGGCGCAAAUUAAAAAGAUAGUACCACAAGAGGAAGAGACGGCUAACUCUGUGCCAGCAGCCGCGGUAAUACAGAUGCCUCAAGCGUUGUUCGGAAUCACUGGGCGUAAAGCGUGCGUAGGCUGUUUCGUAAGUCGUGUGUGAAAGGCGAGGGCUCAACCCGCGGACGGCACUUGAUACUGCGAGACUAGAGUAAUGGAGGGGGAACCGGAAUUCUCGGUGUAGCAGUGAAAUGCGUAGAUAUCGAGAGGAACACUCGUGGCGAAGGCGGGUUCCUGGACAUUAACUGACGCUGAGGCACGAAGGCCAGGGGAGCGAAAGGGAUUAGAUACCCUAGUAGUC